ensembl:miRNA MIR155 microRNA 155
CUGUUAAUGCUAAUCGUGAUAGGGGUUUUUACCUCAAGCAACUCCUACAUGUUAGCAUUAACAG